CCUACGGGAGGCAGCAGUGAGGAAUAUUGGUCAAUGGCCGGAAGGCUGAACCAGCCAAGCCGCGUGAAGGACGAAGGUGCCAAGAAUUGUAAACUUCUUUUGUCCAGGGACAAAAUCAGACACGAGAGUCUGACUGAGGGUACUUUAAGAAAAAGCAUCGGCUAACUCCGUGCCAGCAGCCGCGGUAAUACGGAGGAUUCGAGGGUUAUCGGGAUUUAUUGGGUUGAAAGGGUGCGUAGGCGGACGGUUAAGUUAGAGGGAAAAGCCCGGGGCUCAACCCCGGCGUGCCGUUGAAACUGGGCGUCUAGAGAUGUCGAGAGGUAUGCGGAAUGCGCAGUGUAGCGGUGAAAUGCUUAGAGAUUGCGCAGAACUCCGAUUGCGAAGGCAGCAUACCGGCGGCGAUCUGACGCUGAGGCACGAAAGCGUGGGUAUCGAACAGGAUUAGAUACCCGUGUAGUC
rnacentral:rRNA from 1 species